UGAGGAAUAUUGGUCAAUGGGCGCGAGCCUGAACCAGCCAUCCCGCGUGCAGGAAGAAUGCCCUAUGGGUUGUAAACUGCUUUUUCGCAUGAAGAACACUUCCAACGUGUCGGGAGCUGACGGUAAUGCGUGAAUAAGCACCUGCUAACUCCGUGCCAGCAGCCGCGGUAAUACGGAGGGUGCAAGCGUUAUCCGGAUUUAUUGGGUUUAAAGGGUGCGUAGGCGGCUAUUUAAGUCAGUGGUGAAAUCCUGCAGCUCAACUGUAGAACAGCCAUUGAAACUGAAUAGCUUGAGUAAUCUUGAGGUAGGCGGAAUGUGUAGUGUAGCGGUGAAAUGCUUAGAUAUUACACAGAACACCGAUUGCGAAGGCAGCUUACUAAGGAUUCACUGACGCUGAGGCACGAAAGCGUGGGGAUCAAACA
rnacentral:rRNA from 1 species